rnacentral:rRNA from 1 species
GAUGAACGCUGGCGGCGUGCCUAAUACAUGCAAGUCGAGCGAACGGACGAGAAGCUUGCUUCUCUGAUGUUAGCGGCGGACGGGUGAGUAACACGUGGAUAACCUACCUAUAAGACUGGGAUAACUUCGGGAAACCGUAGCUAAUACCGGAUAAUAUUUUGAACCGCAUGGUUCAAAAGUGAAAGACGGUCUUGCUGUCACUUAUAGAUGGAUCCGCGCUGCAUUAGCUAGUUGGUAAGGUAACGGCUUACCAAGGCAACGAUGCAUAGCCGACCUGAGAGGGUGAUCGGCCACACUGGAACUGAGACACGGUCCAGACUCCUACGGGAGGCAGCAGUAGGGAAUCUUCCGCAAUGGGCGAAAGCCUGACGGAGCACGCCGCGUGAGUGAUGAAGGUCUUCGGAUCGUAAAACUCUGUUAUUAGGGAAGAACAUAUGUGUAAGUAACUGUGCACAUCUUGACGGUACCUAAUCAGAAAGCCACGGCUAACUACGUG